AGAGUUUGAUUCUGGCUCAGAACGAACGCUGGCAGCGUGGAUUAGGCAUGCAAGUCGAACGGGAUCCGGAGCUAUAGCAAUAUAAUUCCGGUGAUAGUGGCGGAAGGGUGAGUAACGCGUGGGUAAGCUACCUCGAAGUUGGGGACAACCAGAUGAAAAUCUGGCUAAUACCGAAUGUGGUCUUCUGGCGCAUGCCAGGGUGACCAAAGGCGGGGAUCCUUUGGACCUGUCGCUUUGAGAGGCACCCGCGUGCCAUCAGCUAGUUGGUAGGGUAACGGCCUACCAAGGCUUACGGCUAGCCGGCCUGAGAGGGUGACCGGCCACACUGGGACUGAGACACUGCCCAGACUCCUACGGGAGGCUGCAGUCGAGGAUCAUUCGCAAUGCGCGAAAGCGUGACGAUGCGACGCUGCGUGGAGGAUGAAGGCCUUAGGGUUGUAAACUCCUGUCAUGAGGGAAAAGACGUCUCGCCCAUAAUACGGGCGAGGCCCGAUGGUACCUCAAGAGGAAGCCACGGCUAACUCUGUGCCAGCAGCCGCGGUAAUACAGAGGUGGCGAGCGUUGUUCGGAUUUACUGGGCGUAAAGGGUGCGUAGGUGGUUUCGUAUGUCGGAUGUGAAAGCCCAUGGCUCAACCGUGGAAUUGCAUUCGAAACCGCGAGACUGGAGUGCAGGAUGGGAGAGCGGAAUUCUUGGUGUAGCGGUGAAAUGCGUUGAUAUCAAGAAGAACACCGGUGGCGAAGGCGGCUCUCUGGAAUGCUACUGACACUGAGGCACGAAAGCUGGGGGAGCAAACAGGAUUAGAUACCCUGGUAGUCCCAGCCGUAAACGGUGCACACUUGGUGUGGGGAGAUUUAACCCUCUCCGUGCCGGAGCUAACGCGUUAAGUGUGCCGCCUGGGGAGUACGGCCGCAAGGCUAAAACUCAAAGAAAUUGACGGGGGCCCGCACAAGCGGAGGAGCAUGUGGCUUAAUUCGAUGCAACGCGAAGAACCUUACCAGGGCUUGACAUAUACCUGCAAGCCCCCUGAAAGGGGGGCCGCCUUCGAGGGUGGUAUACAGGUGCUGCAUGGCUGUCGUCAGUUCGUGCCGUGAGGUGUUGGGUUAAGUCCCGUAACGAACGCAACCCUUGUGACUAGUUGCCACCGGCGGUGAUGAGCCGCCGAGCACUCUAGUCAGACUGCCCGUACAAGCGGGAGGAAGGUGGGGAUGACGUCAAGUCAGUAUGGCCCUUACGCCCUGGGCUGCACACGUGCUACAAUGGACGGUACAAUGGGAGGCAAUACCGCGAGGUGGAGCAAAUCCGUAAAACCGUCCCCAGUUCGGAUUGAAGUCUGAAACUCGACUUCAUGAAGUUGGAUUCGCUAGUAACGGCGCAUCAGCUACGGCGCCGUGAAUACGUUCCCGGGCCUUGUACACACCGCCCGUCACAUCAUGAAAGCCGUCUGCACCCGAAGUCGCUGUACCAACCCGCAAGGGAGGAAGGUGCCGAAGGUGUGGGUGGUGAUUGGGAUGAAGUCGUAACAAGGUA
rnacentral:rRNA from 1 species